rnacentral:rRNA from 1 species
GUAGGCGGUUUAAUAAGUGAAUAGUGAAACCUGGUGGCUCAACCAUACAGACUAUUAUUCAAACUGUUAAACUCGAGAAUGGUAGAGGUAACNUGGAAUUUCUAGUGUAGGAGUGAAAUCCGUAGAUAUUAGAAGGAACACCGAUGGCGUAGGCAGGUUACUGGGCCAUUUCUGACGCUAAGGCACGAAAGCGUGGGGAGCGAACCGGAUUAGAUACCCGGGUAGUCCACGCCGUAAACGAUGGAUACUAGCUGUUGGAGGUAUCGACCCCUUCAGUAGCGAAGCUAACGCGUUAAGUAUCCCGCCUGUGGAGUACGGCCGCAAGGCUAAAACAUAAAGGAAUUGACGGGGACCCGCACAAGCGGUGGAUUAUGUUCUUUAAUUCGAUGAUAACCGAAGAACCUUUCCAGGGCUUGACAUCCAGGGAAGGUCUGCGAAAGUAGACUGUGCCUUUUGGAACCCUGUGACAGGUGAUGCAUGGCCGUCGUCAGCUCGUGUCGUGAGAUGUUAGGUUAAGUCCUUCAACGAGCGCAACCCUUGUGAAUAGUUGUAUUUUUCUAUUCAGACUGCCCCGGUAACGGGGAGGAAGGAGGGGAUGAUGUCAGGUCAGUAUUUCCCUUACGUCCUGGGCUAGAAACGUAAUACAAUGGCUAGUACAAUGCGCAGCGAAGCCGCGAGGUGAAGCAAAUCGCAUCAAAGCUAGUCCCAGUU